rnacentral:rRNA from 1 species
CCUACGGGAGGCAGCAGUGGGGAAUAUUGCACAAUGGGCGCAAGCCUGAUGCAGUCAUGCCGCGUGUGUGAAGAAGGCCUUCGGGUUGUAAAGCACUUUCAGCGGGGAGGAAGGCGUUAAGGUUAAUAACCUUGGCGAUUGACGUUACCCGCAGAAGAAGCACCGGCUAACUCCGUGCCAGCAGCCGCGGUAAUACGGAGGGUGCAAGCGUUAAUCGGAAUUACUGGGCGUAAAGCGCACGCAGGCGGUCUGUCAAGUCGGAUGUGAAAUCCCCGGGCUCAACCUGGGAACUGCAUUCGAAACUGGCAGGCUAGAGUCUUGUAGAGGGGGGUAGAAUUCCAGGUGUAGCGGUGAAAUGCGUAGAGAUCUGGAGGAAUACCGGUGGCGAAGGCGGCCCCCUGGACAAAGACUGACGCUCAGGUGCGAAGGCGUGGGGAGCAAACAGGAUUAGAUACCCGUGUAGUC